rnacentral:rRNA from 1 species
GAUGAACGCUAGCGGCAGGCUUAAUACAUGCAAGUCGUGGGGCAGCAGGACGGUAGCAAUACCGUUGCUGGCGACCGGCAAACGGGUGCGGAACACGUACACAACCUUCCUUUAAGUGGGGAAUAGCCCAGAGAAAUUUGGAUUAAUACCCCGUACCAUGGUGAAAAGGCAUCUUUUUAUCGUUAUAGCAGCAAUGCGCUUAAUGAUGGGUGUGCGGCUGAUUAGGUAGUUGGCGGGGUAACGGCCCACCAAGCCUUCGAUCAGUAACUGGUGUGAGAGCACGACCAGUCACACGGGCACUGAGACACGGGCCCGACUCCUACGGGAGGCAGCAGUAAGGAAUAUUGGGCAAUGGAGGCAACUCUGACCCAGCCAUGCCGCGUGGAGGAUGAAGGUCCUCUGGAUUGUAAACUUCUUUUAUAUGGGACGAAAAAAGGGUUUUCUAACUCGACUGACGGUACCAUAUGAAUAAGCACCGACUAACUCCGUGCCAGCCGCCGCCGUAACAC